GGGAAAGUUUUCCAUUGGUAAGGUUAUGAGUUUGCUAUACUUUGUGUUUUAACACCUGGGUGUUCGAUUCACCUCUUUCCCG
rnacentral:tRNA from 1 species